rnacentral:lncRNA from 10 species
ACAAUCCAUGUUCCUUUUCUUCCAACCCAACAGAUCUGUGGCUGGGCAGCAGCUGCUGAGCUCAACUACAAUUCCAGCCUGCUUUACAGUUAGGCUUGUCCACAGGACCAAGUUCUCAGUGACAGAAUCUCAUCCCAUCAGUUGAAGACCUUAAGAGAAAAGAGACUGACCUGCUCUGAGCAAGGAGGAAUUCUGCUGGCCAACUGCUUGUGAACUCCAACUUGUAAUAUCGGUCUCCA